AGCUAAGAAUCUUCCGCAAUGGGCGAAAGCCUGACGGAGCGACACCGCGUGAGUGAUGAAGGCUGUAAAGUUGUAAAGCUCUUUUCUUGUCGAAGAAUAAGCUUUGUGCGCAAGUGUAAAGUGAUGACAUUAAGCAAGGAAUAAGCCCCGGCUAAUUACGUGCCAGCAGCCGCGGUAAUACGUAAGGGGCGAGCGUUGUUCGGAUUUAUUGGGCGUAAAGGGUAUGUAGGCGGAUACGAAGGCAUUACAAUAAAGAUCGUAGCUCAACUACGGUGUAUUGCAAUGAACCACUUAUCUUGAGUCGUGGAGAGGGAACUAGAAUUCCUGGUGUAGGGGUGAAAUCCAUAGAUAUCAGGAAGAAUACCGGAGGCGAAGGCGAGUUCCUAGCCAAUGACUGACGCUGAUGUACGAAAGCAUAGGUAGCGAA
rnacentral:rRNA from 1 species